GACGAGCGCUGGCGGCGUGCCUAAUACAUGCAAGUUGAGCGCUGAAGGUUGGUACUUGUACCAACUGGAUGAGCAGCGAACGGGUGAGUAACGCGUGGGGAAUCUGCCUUUGAGCGGGGGACAACAUUUGGAAACGAAUGCUAAUACCGCAUAAAAACUUUAAACACAAGUUUUAAGUUUGAAAGAUGCAAUUGCAUCACUCAAAGAUGAUCCCGCGUUGUAUUAGCUAGUUGGUGAGGUAAAGGCUCACCAAGGCGAUGAUACAUAGCCGACCUGAGAGGGUGAUCGGCCACAUUGGGACUGGGACACGGCCCAAACCCCUACGGGAGGCAGCAGUAGGGAAUCUUCGGCAAUGGACGAAAGUCUGACCGAGCAACGCCGCGGGAGUGAAGAAGGUUUUCGGAUCGUAAAACUCUGUUGGUAGAGAAGAACGUUGGUGGGAGUGGAAAGCUCAUCAAGUGACGGUAACUACCCAGAAAGGGACGGCUAACUACGUG
rnacentral:rRNA from 1 species